rnacentral:rRNA from 1 species
UACGAAGGGUGCAAGCGUUACUCGGAAUUCCUGGGCGUAAAGGGUGCGUAGGCGGGCAGGUAAGUCAGUGGUGAAAUCUCCGAGCUUAACUCGGAAACUGCCGUUGAUACUAUUUGUCUUGAAUGUUGUGGAGGUAAGCGGAAUAUGUCAUGUAGCGGUGAAAUGCGUAGAUAUGACAUAGAACACCAAUUGCGAAGGCAGCUUACUAGACAAUUACUGACGCUGAGGCACGAAAGCGUGGGGAGCAAACAGG